CCUACGGGGUGCAGCAGUGGGGAAUAUUGGACAAUGGGCGAAAGCCUGAUCCAGCCAUGCCGCGUGUGUGAAGAAGGCCUUCGGGUUGUAAAGCACUUUCAGUGGGGAAGAAAGUCUUGGGGCUAAUACCCUCGAGGAAGGACAUCACCCACAGAAGAAGCACCGGCUAACUCCGUGCCAGCAGCCGCGGUAAUACGGAGGGUGCGAGCGUUAAUCGGAAUUACUGGGCGUAAAGCGCGCGUAGGCGGUCUGAUAAGCCGGUUGUGAAAGCCCCGGGCUCAACCUGGGAACGGCAUCCGGAACUGUCAGGCUAGAGUGCAGGAGAGGAAGGUAGAAUUCCCGGUGUAGCGGUGAAAUGCGUAGAGAUCGGGAGGAAUACCAGUGGCGAAGGCGGCCUUCUGGACUGACACUGACGCUGAGGUGCGAAAGCGUGGGUAGCAAACAGGAUUAGAUACCCCAGUAGUC
rnacentral:rRNA from 1 species